ACUUUCCCUCCUGCCUCCUCAGCCCGAGGCCGAGAAUCCAGCGGCCGCCGCCAAGCAGAUACAAAUGUUUAUUUGGUCUGACUUUGAAAUACCUCGGAGCAGCUGAAAUAAUUGAAGGCAGCCCUGUAAGAAGCAGCACUUCCAGACCUUCUCACGGGCAAACCCUCUGCUGGGACCGCCAAGGGCCCCCGCGAGACACCUGAGGGUCAGCACAGCCCCUCCCUCCCUGUGCCGUGCUGGCCGUGCCGCAGCUGGUCACCCGCACGAGGACCUCGAGAUUGCCCUGCGGACUGGCACUUCUCGAGGGAAGUCAUCGCAGCUGCCAUGGAGCCAGCAUUUGUCGGGGACCUGGCACGCAGGCCACCGGCUCUGGGAGAGGGCUGAGGAGCCGUGGGGCUCACGUUUCAGGGAUUAGCUUGUGUAACUUGACUUGUUCCCCCAAAUUCUACAAGUACAGAGAAUAUGCAGAAAUCUGUGAGAGAAACAACCUUCUGCAGCUCGUUGUUGUG
rnacentral:lncRNA from 1 species